UGAUUGAACUACCCUUCUCCGAACAACAGCAACCCUAUUAGAACCUUCGUCAACCCUCGGCGGCUAUUGCCAUUCCGAUUCCCCCUCUCCGGGAAUAGAUUGUGACAGCGACUGCGACGGCCGUCGAUGGCGAUGGCGAGGCGGUCUCAGACCGUGGCUUCUCUUCUCCGCGCUUCUCUCCUCCGUCGCUUCUCCUCGCGCCUCUCUGAGCGGUCUAUCUCUUCCUCUGCCCCUCGCCGACUGAGUUUUGGGUGGUUCGACAAGGUCAAGAGCGCUUUCACAGGAAAGCCCUCUCCUGACCCUUCGGCUUCCAAGAUCGACUUCUCACUCACUGAAUUCGCUGAUCAGAUGGAAAAGGCGAGAACACUGGGCUCGUUGAAGCAGUUCGAGGUAGGCCGAUGCAGCGAGGCUACCAUGUCUGGCGCGUUCCAGAAGAACUCCGCUAUCCUUCGUUACCUCGGCGCCAUCGAUCCCUCGGGAGAGAAUUUGCAGAACAGCCAUAAACAGGAUGCAGCAAAGCAUUGCAAUGCCACAAUAGCUGAUGUUGAACAUGUUUUAGCAAAAUACUCAUGGGCUAAAGAGGCACAAAAGAAGAUUGAAAAAUUGAAAGAGGAAGGAAAACCUAUGCCAACUAGCUUUAGUGAGGUACAAAAACUAAUGGGCUCAACACCAUUAGAUCUUGGAAGGUCUAAUUUGGCAAAGAGUGGGCAAAUAAGUAGAAAUGCUCUCUGCCCAUGUGGAUCUGGAAAAAGAUACAAAAGUUACACCCUACUGGCCUUUGGCUCUUCGAGGUUAAGCUUGAGUCUAUGAAGAGAAUGGAAGGUCGCAUGUCAAAGGAGAAGAGAGAGGUUGUGACACCUCACUUUAGACUCAGAUGAGAAAUUCACCUCAGUUUUAACUCAGAUGAGAAAUUGUGAAGUUAAUGAGGGGGUAUGAAAUUGGAUAUGCUGUGCGGCGACAUGAAGCAGAAGAAACUUGCACCUGGAGACUCUCGACCUUUGAAUACUAUCCAAAAAGCCCGGCAAAGAUUACCCAAAUCAAUCAUGAGAUGUAAAACAUUGGAGGUUAAGUGGUUUUAACGGUUAAGUUUCGGAUCGUAAUCAAGCAAAACAAUUUUUUUUCCUGAUGCAGAUUCUUUUGGUGGAUGAAUUCAAUCAAAGAUGAAGUGGUUAAACCUAAA